GCAGUCGCACGAGAAAGCUUCCUUCGGGAAGUGAGUACAGUGGCGAACGGGUGAUUAACGCGUGGGUAACGUGCCCUUCGGUGGGGGAUAACCAUGGGAAACUGUGGCUAAUACCGCACUCGCUUCACGAUGCCAAGUGUCGUGAAGGAAAGAUUGCCUCUGCAUACGCAAUCGCCGAAGGAGCGGCCCGCGUCCCAUUAGCUAGUUGGUGGGGUAAUGGCCUACCAAGGCGGCGAUGGGUAGCCGGCCUGAGAGGGUGAUCGGCCACACUGGGACUGAGACACGGCCCAGACUCCUACGGGAGGCUGCAGUGGGGAAUUUUGCGCAAUGAGCGAAAGCUUGACGCAGCGAUGCCGCGUGCGGGAUGAAGGCCUUCGGGUCGUAAACCGCUGUCGCGAGGGACGAAUAUCCGCAGGAUGAAUAAGCCUGCGGCCUGACGGUACCUCGUGAGAAAGCCCCGGCUAACUCCGUGCCAGCAGCCGCGGUAAUACGGAGGGGGCCAGCGUUGUUCGGAAUCACUGG
rnacentral:rRNA from 1 species